rnacentral:rRNA from 1 species
UACAUGGGGUGCAAACGUUGUCCGGAAUCAUUGGGCGUAAAGAGCGUGUAGGCGGUCCGGUAAGUCGGCUGUGAAAGUCCAGGGCUCAACCCUGGGAUGCCGGUCGAUACUGCCGGACUAGAGUUCGGAAGAGGCGAGUGGAAUUCCCGGUGUAGCGGUGAAAUGCGUAGAUAUUGGGAAGAACACCGGUGGCGAAGGCGGCCAUCUGGACCGGCACUGACGCUGAGGCGCGAAAGCCAGGGGAGCGAAUGGG